UAUUAAAACGGUGAGAGGAUAAUUAACGGCUAAAUAAGUUCUACUUUAUAAUGACUUGCGAUCCUCUUGUAUUUGGUUUUAACUAAUUAUCUAAUAGUUAAGUGAGUCAGUAAACAUCUGACCUAUGCUUUUGUAUUAGUUGGAAUUGGUACCUAUAUUUAAAACCUGAUCAAUAUGUAAGUGAUUAACAACGCUUUCUUGGCGAGUUGUAAAUCAAAAGAUACUUCUGCUCUUUCAUGUGGCGUUCAUUGUGUGAGCAUAAGUGCAGGGGUGGUGUGUGGGCGGCACAUGUCUGUUGUAUUCAAAGAGAACAGAGGAAGUAUUGAAAAGCUGCAUUUCAACGCAGCAUUACUGAAGACUGGAAACUUGGGCACGGUUAAUAGUAGAAGAAUCAUCUCAUCAUUGGAACAGAAGACUUCAACAAAAGGGUUCCAAAAUCAAAAAAGCUAGGUCUGCAUAUUGAAUACAUUCAAGAGAAGAAUAAAUAUGGGUGGCAGUGCUCCUAGUAAAGAAUAUGUUAAAGUAUAUCAUUGUUGCAGAUGCAGCUGCCAAAUCACUGGUGAUUAUGGCAAAUAUGGCAAUGCAGUUUACUGCCGACCAUGUCAUAAUGCUGAAACAGCAGAAAGGGCAAGUGCAGAAGCGAAAAGACAAAAUGAGCAAAUGGAAAUCCAAAAGCAACAACGAGCAAGACAAAAGGAGAUGGAGGAAAGACAACGCAUCCAAGGAGAAGCACAAAAAAGAAAGCUGGAAAAAGAAAACGCAGCAAUGAUAACUGCUCAGUAAAGUGCUGUGAGCUUCACAUUCCUUCAGCGUUAUUUGAAGGAUGAGAAUCACAGUUUGUGCUCCACAGUCUUGAACCCUUCAAUACAGAGCAGGCUUCUUAAGCUCUGCAUAGAGGCACAUGCAUUAUUCCUGGUAUCAUAUGAAUUUGCAGCUUCUUCUGAUGUCUUGAUAACCCACACAAUUAAAACUAAAGGAUUACAGUUCUUGUGUUGUAUUAAAUAAUGAAUGUUGAUAAACUGUUCACAAUGAGCCGAUGCUAAGAUGCUUUUUUUUACUCUACAUAGACAACACAAUGUUGAUUUUAAAAAGCUUCAACACAUAAUUCCUGCAUGCAAAUAAAGAGUUCAUACAUGCAA